GACGAACGCUGGCGGCGUGCUUAACACAUGCAAGUCGAACGGUGAACUCCGCUUGCGGGGGGAUCAGUGGCGAACGGGUGAGUAACACGUGGGCAACCUGCCCUCAGCUCUGGGAUAACUCCAAGAAAUUGGGGCUAAUACCGGAUAUGACCGCUGACCGCAUGGUCUGGUGGUGGAAAGAUUUAUCGGCUGGGGAUGGGCCCGCGGCCUAUCAGCUUGUUGGUGGGGUAGUGGCCUACCAAGGCGACGACGGGUAGCCGGCCUGAGAGGGUGACCGGCCACACUGGGACUGAGACACGGCCCAGCCUCCUACGGGAGGCAGCAGUGGGGAAUAUUGCGCAAUGGGCGAAAGCCUGACGCAGCGACGCCGCGUGGGGGAUGACGGCCUUCGGGUUGUAAACCUCUUUCAGCAGGGACGAAGCGAAAGUGACGGUACCUGCAGAAGAAGCACCGGCCAACUACGUG
rnacentral:rRNA from 1 species